rnacentral:rRNA from 1 species
AUUGAACGCUGGCGGCAGGCCUAACACAUGCAAGUCGAGCGGAUGAAGAGAGCUUGCUCUCUGAUUUAGCGGCGGACGGGUGAGUAAUGCCUAGGAAUCUGCCUGGUAGUGGGGGAUAACGUUCCGAAAGGAACGCUAAUACCGCAUACGUCCUACGGGAGAAAGCAGGGGACCUUCGGGCCUUGCGCUAUCAGAUGAGCCUAGGUCGGAUUAGCCAGUUGGUGAGGUAAUGGCUCACCAAGGCGACGAUCCGUAACUGGUCUGAGAGGAUGGUCAGUCAGCCUGGAACUGGGACACGGGCCAGACUCCUACGGGAGGCAGCAGUGGUGAAUAUUGGACAAUGGGCGAAAGCCUGAUCCAGCCAUGCCGCGUGUGUGAAGAAGGUCUUCGGAUUGUAAGGUACUUUAAGUUGGGAGGAAGGGCAGUAAGUUAAUACCUUGCUGUUUUGACGUUACCGACAGAAUAAGCACCGGCUAACUUCGUGCCAGCCGCCGCGGUAACAC